GUUCCUGGUGUAACUCGGGCAGUUGUUGUUGCCAUCCUGUACCUGUCCCGCAGGUGUCAGUACAUCCGAACAUCACACCUGCGGGACAGGUACAGGAUGGCAACAACAACUGCCCGAGUUAC
rnacentral:pre_miRNA from 1 species